rnacentral:lncRNA from 1 species
AUGAGAUUUUACAAAAUAAGACCAUACCACACUUUCCUAUUUCCCUGAUGCCUAGAACAGUUCCUUAACAUAGGAGGUAGGUUACAAAGGUUUAUUGAAUGAAAGGAUAUGACUUGUAAAUGUAUAUUUUGUGUCUACUAUUUAAGAUCCACAAAGAAAUCAUCAAAGCCAUGUGAAAACAUGGUAACCAUUGAUCAAACAAUGUAAUAUUAUCACUAUAGUUUCUCAGUAGGUCACAAUCCCUCAAGACUCCGCAGUCAAAAUGGAACUCUACAUUGUUUCAUAGCCUCUUUUUUAGAUUGGAGUCCAAGAGCUACAUCAGAAGUAAGUGGAGAACCUAGGAAUUGGAGAGGAUAGAGUAAAGAUUGAUCCCAAAGAGCAAAGACCAUUCAUCUAAACUUAGAAACAGAAAAGUGGAAUGUAUGACAUUGAAGAGAGUGUCCAAACAUAGCAUCAAAAAGAUUUAUUUUCUUCAUCAGUACUGAAUGAUUCCUGACAACCAUCUAGCAGCAUUAUUUGUGGGUUGUUCUCUAACACCUCACCCCAAUAUAUAUAUAUAGUAAAGUAACACUGAUAAGUUAAGGUAAACAAGAUAUCUAAAUACCAUUACACAAAAAUCAGGGGUCUGUGAUGGCUGAACAAAUUGCCCUAUGUACUAGAGAGGGGAAAUCAGAAGAUGUCACACCAGGAAGUAGUUGAAUGAAAGAAGCUGAAUCUUGAGCCCCCCUUCCCUCUCUACUUCCUGUUCUUCCUUUCACCAAGCAACCUAAUGGAGGUUUUCUUCACAGAUGUUUCAGAUGAACAACUAAAACAGUCCUGUAUAGAGGCAAUUAGGAAGCAUAAUGGAUCGAGUGCCAGGAGUCAUAGGAUCUGGUUUCAAAUCUGGCCUCAGCCACUUCUUAGCUGGAUGACUCUGGCUCCAUCUUUCUGCCUAUUAUCACACAUCUACAUUGGUACAAGGAAUACAGAGAAGAAAUCAGAAAGGCCAGAAAGAAGCAUAGACAAGGGUUCUUGUUCAUUUGAAUAUAAAAAGACAUUCAGUUCCCAAUAUAAACGAAUUUAAAGUGGAGUGUAAGGUAUAUCUGCCUGAUGUGGAGAAAGUCGGAUCUCCUUGGCAACUGAAUGAGGAAUCUGAGGACUCAAAGGCUAGAGAUGAGGACCCACAAUGCACUUCUGGAGUCCACGUUGAACAGUUUUGAGGUAGAAGGGAGCUUCGGGAUCAUUUAGGACACUCUUCAUUUUACAGCUGAGGCAACUGGCGUCCGAGACUAACGUCCCACAGGCAGUACGAAGCAGAGCUGGCACAUGAACCCCCUCCUCCGACGCCAAGUUUAUUGGCCGCUCUGCCCUGUCCUGGGCAGACGCAGGCAGACCAAUUACAGAUCCCAGCCCAACGCUACACCUGAGAGACUUGGAAACAAACAUCGAGUCUGGGGGUUCUUUGUGGCUUUUUGGUGCCCCCUAAGGACUCCUUCCCCAAAUAAUUCCUUUAAAUUCAGGAAAUAAACAUACAUAGGAUUACA